AUGCAAGCAAAACGUGCGUGACAACGCAUAUAGUGUGUGCAUAACAAUACAAGUGAAAGUGCAUAACAAUGUAGCGAGCGUGCGUGACAACGCAAGUAAGGUGUGCAUGACAAUACAACAGGCAUGCUCUAUGUAAUGUAAUGGUAGACACACAUUCAAUACAACAGGCAUAUGCUAUGCAAGUGUGACGAUGCACAUAUUCAAUGUAAGCAUGGUAAAGGCAUGUUAUCCACAAUGUUGAGAUGCAACUUCAAAACAAGAUGAGGCAUGCUCAAUGUAAGAGUGAAAAGGCGUAUAACAAAUGCGCGUCUUACAAACAUGACAAAACACUCGUAAGGCAAGAUAUUCAAAAGCAAUUCUUGAACAAUUUUCGAAUCUUGCAAUAUAGAAAAGGAUACGAAAAAGGAUACACCUCGUGCAUAUCAAGCACCGCACACGGAAGACACGGUUCGAGGUCAUCACGAAGGCCGCUUAAGCUUCAAAAGUGUACUUUCUUGCACUUUCUUGAAAGAUGAGGGUACCAAUCAACAGAAAUACCCCAAACAAGGGCAUUGGAGACCCAUCGACCACAAGGGGAAUCUAUCGGCCAUCCAUCGACCAUCAAACAAGCUUAUUGGCCAACAACUUAGCCGAUCGGCUAACAAUUUGGCCAAUCGGCCAAAAGUGGUAGAUUCUGGGCAAUUUUGUCCAUUCACCUUGGGUCUUUAAGUAUAGGGCUUCAAACCCUAUUUCCUCACUGCCUCCAAGCCGAAAACUCUUGCUCUCUCUCUAGGUUGUUUUCCAUCCUUCGAUUCGAGCUUUUCCUUCAUUUUCAAGCCUCUCGCAACUUCCGAUUUGCGAAACCCUCUUCGUUUCAAACACUUUGAACCAAUUGAAACGUGAUUUCGGUGCCUCAUUCUUGAUUUCCUUCACUUGGGGUUUGUUUCUCCUGAGUUAGCCUUGGUUUCCAUGCCUUCUUCCGCACUUCUACUUUUUCUCCCAUUUUUCACCCCUUAGGGUUGACUUUUGGCAUUCUUGCCCAUUUUCCAUAUCCUCGGCCAUUUUUUCACUCUUCUUGAGAUGGCGGAUGACAUUCCACAGGGUGGGGCUCCUCCAGAGAUAGAUAUGGAUCCCGAGGUCGAGCUCUUGUCUCUUAGUGUUCGGCCUUUUGACCUAGCGACAUACCAGCCCGCGAUACAUGUGCUGCCUCCCGACAGUAUUCAGCAGUUCAGGAGCUUCGCGCAAGGUACGCCAUUGGAGCUCCUGCUACGCAAGCCGGAGUCGCACCUUUCUUACGGUGUCGCUGAGGGAGAUUCCCAUGCCUUCCGGGGGUAUGGGAAUACCAUCGCCCGGGGUUGGUACAUGGAGUUGCCUAAUGAAGUCUGCCAGAUUGUCGACGAGGCCGGCUUCGGCAUUUUCUGCAUGGGACUCUCACGCCUCACUACGAGUAGGCCCCUUCUAGGUGUACUGGUGGAGAGGUGGUGGGACACCAUCGAUUCCUCCCACCUUUCCGUAGCGGGGGAGAUGAUGAUGACUCUCUUCGACUUCUCCAUGCUCACUGGCAUCGGAGUAGGGGGUGAUCUGAUCCCCUUUGACACCGACGUGGGCGAGUAAGAUGCUGCCCAGAUGUUCUUGCUUGGCGCUCGCCCACCUCUCUCUCGGCUAGGGUUCGUGAGAUGUUCAUGGUUCAAGGACCAGUUUAGGGGACAGACGCUGACGACCUAGGAGAAGGUCGAGCAUUAUGCCCAAGGGUUUCUUAUGUUCUUGCUGGGCACCACUCUUUUUGCUGACCAGGUGAACACAGUUGGACUCUAUCUACUGAGCGCACUGGUGGAUGUGACCCGGAUCCGACGCUAUGAUUGGGGUGGCGCAGGCCUAGCCACAUUGUACGGGUACAUGAGUUCCUCAUCCCACCACAGCGGACAUUUGCUAGGAGGCUACUGGCGAGCCUGGGAGUUGUGGGUGUAUGCCUACUUUCCGAGGCUUGCUCUAGAGCUGGAGGUGGAGAUGCUCCUUGUUGUCCCAUAUUCUCAUCGAUACGAUGUGAGGUGCGAGGGAGGCCACGAUAGUUUUUCCUAUUCUUUCGCAGAUACUUUGACACCAUAGCCGCAACAGAGAUCACCUGGCUGCCCUGGGCCGUGUUGCCUGAUGUAGUGAGAGACCAGUAUAUGAGUGCUUGGGAGACUACCCGAUUCUGAGUUUUGCUGGAGGGUCUGGUUUGCCGGGCUUGGUACUUGGGAGAGCGCUUCUUGCGACAGACCCUUGGUUUACCUGAGCAGAUAGUCCCGAGGCCCCCUCCUAUCCAUAUGAGGCAUACAGAGAGGUACACCCUGCAGGAGAUGACCGAUUUCAUGAUCAGUUGGGACGCUGACUUUUUCUGAGAUGAGGGCGACUACACCAUCUUCUUCGAGACUCAUCUUAUGUGACCUCUGGCCAGUGCUCGCCGAGUUGAGAGGGAGAGGCCUGUAGCGCCAGUAGGAGGAGCAGAAGUGUUGAGGGUGACUCAAGCCCGUGACAGGAGUGGUUCCUGGAGGGGACGGAGAGCAGAGUGGCCAGAGCUGCCCACCACCAUGACAUGCCGAGGACAGGGCGGAGAGACUUAUAAGAUACCCAUCGCCCCUUCUCCGCCUGAUCAUGAUCUCGUCGGAGUUCAUGGCUCGACCCCAGCUUCCAUCGAGUACACUGGGCAGGCUCUGGAGUUGUCAGCCUCAGUGAUGGGGAUGCUACAGAGGAGCAUAGACCUGUUGAGCAUUUACGGUAUCCUGUGAGUUCUUUCAACCUCAGUCCCAAAACUUUGCAUAGUCUGUUCCCUAUUGAUCUGAUG